rnacentral:rRNA from 1 species
UACGGGGGGGGCAAGCGUUGUUCGGAAUUACUGGGCGUAAAGGGCGCGUAGGCGGUCUGCUAAGUUGGAUGUGAAAACUCUGGGCUUAACCCAGAGCCUGCAUUCAAUACUGACAGGCUAGAGUUCUGGAGGGGAUAGCGGAAUUCCUGGUGUAGCGGUGAAAUGCGUAGAUAUCAGGAGGAACACCGGUGGCGAAGGCGGCCAUCUGGACAGAGUCUGACGCUGAGGCGCGAAAGCUAGGGGAGCAAACAGG